rnacentral:tRNA from 2 species
GAUCCCGUAGUUAAACUGGAUAUAACCAAGGAUUCCUAAUCCUUAAUUCUGGGUUCGAGUCCCGGCGGGAUCACCA